CGCUACUUCCGGUUUCGCCGCGCUACUUCCGGUUUCGCGGAGCCGUCUCCAGGAUGUUAUCAAGUAGCCAUGCUGUGGAAUGCGGUCAGACUUACAUCUGUUGCCAUCUGCUGUGAUUCAUUAACAAGGCAAUGCCUUUUCACCGCUCAGUAAAGAAAAUUACAAGCUAGUACAGUCUCCUGGGUUCUUUGCUGGUGGUUUAACUACGCGUUUCCUCAAGACGCUACAGUGAAAAGGCACCAUCUGAUGUGUCAUCGUGGUCAAAAUGGCAGCAAGAAAUAGAUCUGCGACAAGUCAAACCGGCAGCACAAGCUCAUCCGUAGGAAGCGCUGCUCGUGCCCGAGCUAAAGCAGAAGCAGCAAAGCAUCUUUGAUCCUCUGGGUCUGUUGGCACCUGUCACUAUCCAAGGAAGAGCGCUACUCCGUGAACUAUCAUCAGAGUGUUCAGAAUGGGAUGCACCUCUUCCGGAGAACAAGCAAAACAAAUGGGAAAGUUGGAGAGAUUCCCUAAAAGAUCUUAAAGAGCUUCACGUCCCAAGAACCUACACAUCAACUUCUCUCAGGCAAGCAGAACGCAACGAACUGUAUUUAUUUUCAGAUGCUUCAACCAAAGCAAUUGGUGCUGUAGCCUACCUGAAAGCAGUCCAACAAGAUGACAAAGUGGAGGUAGGAUUCAUUAUGGGCAAGGCAAGACUUGCUCCUCAAUCAGAACCCACUAUACCAAGGCUUGAACUGUGCGCCGCCGUCUUGGCAGUCGAGAUGGCCGAUCUAAUUCAGGAUGAGUUAGACCAACAGCUGGAUGCAGUUCAUUUUUAC